rnacentral:rRNA from 1 species
AGUAAAUUGGUUAAGUUAGAAAGGUCGCACGGUGGAGGCCUUGGCACUAGGAGCCGAAGUAGGACGGGACUAACACCGAUAUGCUUUGGGGAGCUGUACGUAAGCGUUUAUCCAGAGAUUUCCGAAUGGUGGAACCCACUAUCUUUAGUCGGAUAGUAUCCUUACGUGAAUACAU